rnacentral:rRNA from 1 species
UACAGAGGUCUCAAGCGUUGUUCGGAAUUACUGGGCGUAAAGGGCUCGUAGGCGGCCAACUAAGUCAGACGUGAAAUCCCUCGGCUUAACCGGGGAACUGCGUCUGAUACUGGAUGGCUUGAAUCCGGGAGAGGGAUGCGGAAUUCCAGGUGUAGCGGUGAAAUGCGUAGAUAUCUGGAGGAACACCGGUGGCGAAGGCGGCAUCCUGGACCGGCAUUGACGCUGAGGAGCGAAAGCCAGGGGAGCCAAAGCGGGG